rnacentral:rRNA from 1 species
UACGUAGGGUGCGAGCGUUAAUCGGAAUUACUGGGCGUAAAGCGUGCGCAGGCGGUUCGUUGUGUCGGCGGUGAAAGCCCCGGGCUUAACCUGGGAAUGGCCGUUGAAACUGGCGAACUGGAGUGUGGCAGAGGGGGGUGGAAUUCCGCGUGUAGCAGUGGAAUGCGUAGAGAUCCGGAAGAACACCGGUGGCGAAGGCGGCCCCCUGGGCAGUAACUGACACUGAGGCGCGACAGCGUGGGGAGCAAACAGG